UUACGCGAGUCACCAGUCGCCACGCGCAAUCACAACGGCGCCGUCUUCACUUGCAUCUGCAUCUUUUCGCUGCGCGUGGCUGCUUGUGUGUGCGUGCGCCUCCGACCUCCAUUCUCGGUGCCUCUCACUUUCCCCGCCUCCACCGUCGGCUGUGCUGGUGUGGGUUUCUCUCCUGUUCUACACUCUUCGCGUUUUUGUAUCUUAUCGACGGCGCUCUGGCCCGCUGCCGCACCCGCUGCGCCAAUGUCUACCCCUCUCGAUGUGAGGGCCGCCGAGUACAGCCCUUCCUUCGCUGUCACGAUGAAAAAGACGGCGGCUGCGGCGCCGCCAAGGUUGCCGGCUCCGGCCAAGUCAAAGAUCAGCGUGACUCGCACUGGCGUCAACACCACGUACCCGAUGCCGCCGCCGCCGCCGCCGAUGCCAGAGAAAAACUACGCGCCCUUUUUCGCGGCGGGGUGCCAGACGUUUGCCGCAUCCAAGGCGUGGAUGCCCCCUCUGCAACCUGCGUCUCCGCUGCCACCCAUGCAUUCAGCACCCCCGACUGCCUCCGUGGUGUCGAACUCGAUCCCGCCUUCGUCCCCUGCAACGGCGCCAGGUGAGCGUAGCCCCGCUGUUGCGGCACGCAGUGUGCCGACCCGCUUUAGUCCUGCCACGGUCCCGCGCCACCACAUGAACCCCAACGCCACGGAGUUCAUGCCGGGGCGGCGCAACGGCCCGGACGGCGGGCUUGAGGCGCUGCCCACGUCCACGGCGGACAUGGAGCUUGCCAAGACUCCCGCUGGAGCCGCUGCCGCUGCUGUCCACGCGCCGUCGCUGCCCGGUGCGGCGCGCCGCAGCCUCCAGAACUCUCCCAUCAUCCAGCCCUCUCGUCUGAGCGCCAAGAGCGCCUCUGAGAUCGAGGCCAUUAGCAAAAACAGUGCCCUGAAUGCAGCUGCCGCCGCCUACGUGCCGCAGCGCACCCUGGCGCGUGUGGUGCUGACACAGCCAUCCCCGCUUGCCCUCGCCCCCUCUGAGGACCCGGCCAAGGACAAUAUCGAGAUGAUGCUGGACGAUCUUUGGUGUCUCUUCUACCUUCCCACCACGCUGGGCGAGAACAUUAAGGAAGAGGACUACAACCCCACGUUGGUAUUCCGCGUGGACAGUAUCCUGACCUUCUGGAGGGUGGUGAACAACAUCGCGGCCCCAUCCGAGCUGCAGCUCAGCACGCUGUAUCUCUUCCGGGACGGCAUCGACCCCAAGUGGGAAGACCCCGCGAACCGAGAUGGCGGCAUCGUGAAAGUGAAGGCGACUGCUGCCCAGGUCGAUGAGGCGUGGGAGCUGCUGCUGUGCCGCACCAUCGGAGACUCGUGGUCCCCAUCGGUGCGCGAGACCGUCAACGGUGUGGUGUUGAAGGUCCGCGAGCGCGCCUACUGGCUGGAGUUGUGGGUCACCAAGAACUCGAGUGCGCUGCAGAAGGACCUCGCCGAGCUCUGGCACCCGAUCCUCGGCGCCUCCUUCGCGACCACGUAUCUGACACACGCCAUGAUGCAGGAGCGCUCCCACGCCGCUGCCGCCUUAGCUGCCGAAAAGCAGAAAAAGAACCGUCGGCGCUACUAAGCUGCAGCGCCUGUGGGCUCCCCUGUUUUGCCGCGGUGAGGGGCGGGGAGGAGAGGUCUGUGGCGUCGCAUCUGCGCGUCGUGGCCAUCUUUGACAAUCACGUGCACUCUCUCUCUCUCUCUGUGCGUGUGUGUCUGUGUGCACCUACAAGUAGCUGUCCGCAUCUCUCUCUGUUUUCGCUUCUUCUGUUUCUUUCUCCCGUCGCGCACGUUGAGCUUCCUUGCAUUCCCGCUUGCAGUGAGCUUGAGGCCCUGAUGGCGGUGUUGCUAUUCAGUGGGUGGGCUUGUGAUUUACGUGUUUCAGCUUCACCCCUUCCUUUCCGUGGCUUAUCGUUGGCUAUUCUCCUCCGACCCUCCACCCUCCUCGCGAUGCGACGCACACGGUGAUAGGGAGAGAGGAGAGGAAGACCAAUGCCUCAUUCGCCGUUAAUCGAUGAUGUGGCGGAAGCAGUGGCAGGCGGCAUGCGCGGCAUGGAGCGGUAGACUUCGUCUUUUCUUUACCGCUGCUCCUCUGUCUGUCUGUCUCUGUUGUUGGGGAAAGCGCCACAACUGCUUGAGGGUGAGCGUCAGCACAUCACCGCUCUCUCGCUCGCUCUCGCGCUCACUCCCUCUUGUGAUUCUUUUUGGUGUCUGCCUGCGGGUGUGUCUGGGCCGAGGGGAGCGCGAUGGUGACGGUGACGGUGGCUAGGUCAGCGGCAUUGCCGUGCUCUAUCCGCCCCCUCCUCUCUUCAUCCUCGACAUACACGAGAGAGGCGAAGGCAAAGCCGAGAAAGAACACCAGGAAAGAGAGAGGAGCGGGCGGGCGGGCCCACACGGCCGGAGGGCUCGUGCAGCGCGUGUGGCGUGGGAGGGGAGGCCGGCCCACCGGCCUUCGUAUCUUUUUCGAAUUUGAUAACAGUCUAAUACGCGAAAGGGCGCUUAUGCGAUUAAGAGCGUCACACAAAACAACAGACAACAACAGCAAAAAAAAAGCGACGCCGACAGACUAACCCAACGGCGCAGCACCACAUAGCCAGACGGAGGGAGGAGGAAAGGAGACGUGCGACCGUCCCGAUUACACAGCCCUGAAAACGUAUGAGCUGCCCGCCGACAGUUGACAGGGAGCGAGAGGGGUUUAGCAGCCGCAUGUGUAGGGGGCGCUAAUGCGCGUGUGCGAACAGGGCAGCGGUGCCCGCACGCACCUCUAUCGCUACAGCCUCCCUCACUCUCUGGUAUACGUGGCGACUGCCGUUCUGGGCUAUCGGAGCCUGUGUAGGUGCGUGUACCCGCGGAGGUCCCCUUUGGCGCAUGUACCGCAGGCGCUUGUACGAACGCACUUGCUUCCUCGCUUCCUUUUUUG
rnacentral:misc_RNA from 1 species